rnacentral:rRNA from 1 species
GACGAACGCUGGCGGCGUGCCUAAUACAUGCAAGUUGAGCGAUGAAGAUUGGUGCUUGCACCAAUUUGAAGAGCAGCGAACGGGUGAGUAACGCGUGGGGAAUCUGCCUUUGAGCGGGGGACAACAUUUGGAAACGAAUGCUAAUACCGCAUAACAACUUUAAACAUAAGUUUUAAGUUUGAAAGAUGCAAUUGCAUCACUCAAAGAUGAUCCCGCGUUGUAUUAGCUUGUUGGUGAGGUAAAGGCUCACCAAGGCGAUGAUACAUAGCCGACCUGAGAGGGUGAUCGGCCACAUUGGGACUGAGACACGGCCCAAACUCCUACGGGAGGCAGCAGUAGGGAAUCUUCGGCAAUGGACGAAAGUCUGACCGAGCAACGCCGCGUGAGUGAAGAAGGGUUUCGGAUCGUAAAACUCUGUUGGUAGAGAAGAACGUUGGUGAGAGUGGAAAGCUCAUCAAGUGACGGUAACUACCCAGAAAGGGACGGCUAACUACGUG